CCUACGGGUGGCAGCAGUGGGGGAUCUUGGACAAUGGGGGGAACCCUGAUCCAGCAACGCCGCGUGAGUGAAGAAGUAUCUCGGUAUGUAAAGCUCUAUCAGCAGGGAAGAAGAAAUGACGGUACCUGUGUAAGAAUCCCCGGCUAACGACGUGCCAGCAGCCGCGGUAAUACGUUGGGGGCAAGCGUUAUCAGGAAUUACUGGGUGUAAAGGGAGCGUAGACGGUGAUGUAAGUCUGGAGUGAAAGGCGGGGUAUUAACCGCCGGACUGCACUGGAAACUAUGUGACUGGAGUGCAGGAGAGGUGAGUGGAACUCCUAGUGUAGCGGUGAAAUGCGUAGAUAUAAGGAGGAACACCAGUGGCGAAGGCGGCUCACUGGACUGUAACUGACGCUGAGGCUCGAAAGCGUGGGGAGCAAACAGGAUUAGAUACCCUUGUAGUC
rnacentral:rRNA from 1 species